rnacentral:lncRNA from 1 species
CAAAGAGUUGUGUUACAUGCAGGUGGUGGAAAGAGGAGAAGUAUGGUAUAUAAUGAGGGAAAACAAAAAGGGGGGAAAAGCAAAGUUGUUAUUAAGAAGACAGCGAUUAAUCGGUGAGUUGCUCAGGGGUCACCGAAUGGACCGGACAUGUUUGCGAGUUGCUCCGAGGUCUCCACACAGACCAGACGUCUCUGGGGGUCUGUUUUCAGAUUGUGGACAAUAGAUGGGGAAAAUGUAGCAGUGAAGAUGAUUCCGUGUCCUGUCCCGUCGAUGGACACAGCGAGGAUUAGGGAACGAAGACAAAG